GACGAACGCUGGCGGCGCGCCUAACACAUGCAAGUCGAACGAGCGAGAGAGAGCUUGCUUUCUCAAGCGAGUGGCGAACGGGUGAGUAACGCGUGAGGAACCUGCCUCAAAGAGGGGGACAACAGUUGGAAACGACUGCUAAUACCGCAUAAGCCCACGGGUCGGCAUCGACCAGAGGGAAAAGGAGCAAUCCGCUUUGAGAUGGCCUCGCGUCCGAUUAGCUAGUUGGUGAGGUAAUGGCCCACCAAGGCAACGAUCGGUAGCCGGACUGAGAGGUUGAACGGCCACAUUGGGACUGAGACACGGCCCAGACUCCUACGGGAGGCAGCAGUGGGGAAUAUUGCACAAUGGGGGAAACCCUGAUGCAGCGACGCCGCGUGGAGGAAGAAGGUCUUCGGAUUGUAAACUCCUGUUGUUGAGGAAGAUAAUGACGGUACUCAACAAGGAAGUGACGGCUAACUACGUGCCAGCAGCCGCGGUAAAACGUAGGUCACAAGCGUUGUCCGGAAUUACUGGGUGUAAAGGGAGCGCAGGCGGGAAGACAAGUUGGAAGUGAAAUCUAUGGGCUCAACCCAUAAACUGCUUUCAAAACUGUUUUUCUUGAGUAGUGCAGAGGUAGGCGGAAUUCCCGGUGUAGCGGUGGAAUGCGUAGAUAUCGGGAGGAACACCAGUGGCGAAGGCGGCCUACUGGGCACCAACUGACGCUGAGGCUCGAAAGUGUGGGUAGCAAACAGGAUUAGAUACCCUGGUAGUCCACACCGUAAACGAUGAUUACUAGGUGUUGGAGGAUUGACCCCUUCAGUGCCGCAGUUAACACAAUAAGUAAUCCACCUGGGGAGUACGACCGCAAGGUUGAAACUCAAAGGAAUUGACGGGGGCCCGCACAAGCAGUGGAGUAUGUGGUUUAAUUCGACGCAACGCGAAGAACCUUACCAAGUCUUGACAUCCCUUGACGAACAUAGAAAUAUGUUUUCUCUUCGGAGCAAGGAGACAGGUGGUGCAUGGUUGUCGUCAGCUCGUGUCGUGAGAUGUUGGGUUAAGUCCCGCAACGAGCGCAACCCUUACUGUCAGUUACUACGCAAGAGGACUCUGGCAGGACUGCCGUUGACAAAACGGAGGAAGGUGGGGAUGACGUCAAAUCAUCAUGCCCUUUAUGACUUGGGCUACACACGUACUACAAUGGCGUUAAACAAAGAGAAGCAAGACCGCGAGGUGGAGCAAAACUCAGAAACAGCGUCCCAGUUCGGACUGCAGGCUGCAACUCGCCUGCACGAAGUCGGAAUUGCUAGUAAUCGUGGAUCAGCAUGCCACGGUGAAAUACGUUCCCGGGCCUU
rnacentral:rRNA from 1 species